GGCGUGUCUCCUUCUGGCCGCCUUUUUUCGCAGAGCGGCGGGUGGCAGGGUGCGCCUCCGCCUCUCCGGCGGCGCAAGGGAUGGCUCAGCCGUUUGGAAGUCACCUCUUCCUAAUUGGACAGGUGCGCUCGCCUUAUGGCCUCCGAUUGUUGGCGCUUCCUCUGCGCACCUUUAAUUCUCCGGUUAUUUGCUCGCGGCGCGCCCGAGUGCCCCCCUGAAUAGUUGUUUGGCGCCAAGGUCUAGUUUGGGAAUAGAUCUGCUAUUUCCAAAAUAAGAAGGCGUGGGUCGUAUAGAUCAUAGCAUAAAUCUCCCCAGUUCGUCUGCUUAUUGUGAGAUGGGUAGAAAUUUCAGUACUCGGGGGUGCUGGUCUGCUGGAGUAACCUCGAAUUUACAGUGCCACUAUGUGGUCCGUACUGCAGCAUAACCGUUUAAUCUCAGGCUCCCCCAUCCCUGACCAGAUUGCAUGGUUCUUAGCCAGUUGAGCUAACAGGCUAACUGACGGAGAGCUUCAGUUCUGAACUGAAACGGGUGCUCAUUGAAUCCAAAAUCAGAUUCAUCUUCUUUCCAAAACAGCCCUUUGUACAGCACUAAUGCAACCAUUAUUUGCGAUUUUGCGUUGCUCUCAUCACGGCAAAUAAUGUUCACUUUAUGUUAGGAACCUGCUACGAUCUAUCUUGACUAGUCACUUCAACAGAUGAAUUGUAGCAGUAGCAUAGCAAUUACAGGGGAGAGGUUACAGGAACAGGAAGAACAGAGAUGAACUGGAGGUAGGGGAAAGAGAAGGGAGCCGCCGCCGUUCGUGCCUGAUCCUACGCGGGUACCUCCUCGUGGCCUGCUUCCCUUGUAUUUGUAGUGGGCACCCUGGUUAAUGCACCACUGGGCUUGGCCCACGUACCACCGACGGGCAAGCCAAUGGGUCCCUAACAUCCCUCCCUUCUUGAAAUGCGGCUUGCCCCCAAGCCGCUGACAUGAGGAGCUCGCCAGGAUCCCAGGGUGCUUGGAGGUUCUUGAUCAUGUUGUGGUCGCCGUGGUAGUUGUCGUGGUCGUAGCCACAGUUUAGGUGGAUUUGAACUAGCUCGAAGAAGUGGUCGUGGUUGAGGUAGUAGUCGCUGUCAUGGGGAUCUUGGUAGAGGAAGGCAGAGGCGUCUUUGAUAUCCCUCCCUUCUUGAGGAUCUACUUGUGCACUAGUUGAUGCCAUGUAGAAGCUGUGUGUUACAUAAAGUCCAAGCACCAGGAUAGAACGGCCUGGCAAGCAUCUUGUUGGCUGUUGUAGUUGAGACUUGCACAUAAGAGCAACAACAGAAAAUGGCAGAGUUGCGCCCAUAGCAAGGAACUCUUCCCACAGGUGCGCUUGUCGAGUCAACUCCAGUAACAAGAACACCGCCGGUCCUCCGGGGUCCCAAAACAUGCCCAUCUGGUACAUGCCCAUGUCGAACUCCCAUAUACAUAUGGCAGAGACGAGAGGAAAAAGAAAACACUUGCAUUGAGCAUCACCAUCUUAUUGAAAUAGAGCCCCAACACCCAUUUCUGAAAAGAGCCCCACUCGAAGAUGCUAAUAACAGAAGCACAAACUUCAUCUGAUUUCGGAUAUCUUGUACCAGAACCAACCUCAAAGCAAUCCCACAAUUCAUGAUAAACCUUGGUUGAUAUAAGAUGCUGACACUCACAAGUUUCUGAAGCUUCAGUACUGGGCAUAGUUCUGAAAUUGAUAAUAAUUUCCACGCUUUCCAGUUGCUGUACCAGAUAGCGAUGCAUCUGAUCGCCACCAGCCUGUAUACUUGAACAUAUAGGAACCACCAAUUGAUGUAAUGAAUCAUCGACAAGUAUAGUAAGGACACAAAGAAUGGCCGGACUGGUGUUCAUAUAUAAUUUCAGAAGUCCUGAAUCAGUAUCAGUUGUCCGACAAUUGAUCCCAUUGAAUCUCUGGUUGAACCAUGCAUCACCCCAUAUGCUUUCAAAUAGAACAUAUACCCAGCGCAGAUGGAUGCUCCAGCCUAGACAAUUUAUGCGCUUUACUGCAUCAGUUAGCAGUCCCCUCUUGUGGACACUGCCAAGAGGAAUUAGAUUAUGUGGCCCACCAUUCUCCAGCUUCCUCUCGAAUGUACACUUCUCCAUACAAAAAUCAUAGGCAUGAGCACAAUGGUGAAAAUAUUCAGCACCUUCCAGUUGCCGCACCAUACAACAGGAAUAAGACUGCAGACUCUUGUAUUUAACUUGGUCUGUAUGCAUUGUUUCUGAACCCUUCUUUUCAUGUUCAACAAUAUAUGUUACUUGAUCUGGUCGACGCCAAGACUGCUACCGUGCACCAUGUAAAUAACUGAAGGGCUCUUCCAUGGGAAUUAGUACAGAACAACAAAUAGGCUGAACCAUCAAGCAUGCCAAGAGGACAUAUGGAUUACCACAUUGUUCAGAACUGCAAUGUCUAGUAAAAUGGCCACUCCCUUGAAAUUCCUCUAGAUUGAAAUAUGACCACUUCAUUGUCAAUCUCAUGAUUUGAACUAUCCCUUCAACUAGAAACUGUACUGCCUGACAAUUACAGAAAAAAUAUGAUCUUGAUAGGUUCCACUGGGCAUUCUUUUGACUGAACCUGAACAUCGGCUGGGCAUCUUGAGCACAAAAUUCAUAUGAGGACUGCACAAUAAACACAACUAGCCUCCGUUCUGUGGUACCCAAGGUCAGAUCAUAUAUUAAUUGCAUUAACAGAACACCAAUAUUGCUUGACAGCUCUACGAACAUAGCAUCCAGUUUCUGCACACUCCGAAAUAGAUGCACCUCCACACUAGCAAGACCUGAAUGAUGCAGUUCAUAAGCAAUAGUACGAGAACAUCCACAGAGUUCCGCAAGCCAAUUAUUGUCAUGAAAGAGCGUGACAAGCUUACUGAAACUUGAACCAUCAUGUUUCAAACACGUCAAGCACAAGAACAGACCAGGGAGUAUCCUUAUGCGAUGCCCGUUGAGAUUGGACCACCGCUUCCAUGUAUUGCACACAAGGUUUCCAACAUGACUUAAUUCCAUCAGGAAGGUACUACUAAUCAAACUACUGUUAUGCACUUGGAGAAACAGAAACGGAUGUGCCCUGAACAUCCAUGUAUGAGGGUCAUGCACAGGAGGUACGUGGAAAUUGCAAUGGGCAACACAAGCACGACAGACUUCUGAUGGCACCUUUAUUGCAAACGAAGGCCACGGAGUGGGUCGAAUCUCAUUCCUAUCUGCUAUAUGAUUUGACAGAAAGGAUGGCCACGGCAUGAAUCGUACCUCAUUCCCAUCAGCAAGAUCCCUCCAAAACGAUGGCCACGGCGUCGGCCGUAGCCUCAUCCACUGCCACCAGACUUGUUGAAACGCCAUUGCCAUCAGCGAGAGCUUAGGUGUGUCGGGAAGGCAGGAGCGCGGGUACUCCGCAGUCAGUAGUAUGGGCGCCGCAGGUGCAACAAUUUUGUUGGCGUCGUUGUACACGACUGUUGUCACCAGAGAGAAUCGCCGGGUGAAAACAUCGGUGAUGAUCACCCCAGGAGCGGCGUCCUCCUCAAUGACCGUGUGCGAAGGAAACUGCUCAACUUCCUUGUCAUUCCGGAUGACGGUGAGCUCGGGGAAGACAACAGUGGUGGCGUUGAGGUCGAUGGCAAGGUCGUGGCAGACGGUGGUGGAGGGGACGCCGGGAAAGAUGGCGAGCUCGGUGACGACUUCUGGAAUUGCCGCCACCAAUGUGUACUCGUCCGUGCCCGCGACUGGGACGCGGCAAUCGCUGUCAAGGGAAGACUUGGGGGAUGUAUCGUGGCCGUGAGGCGGCGUGCUGGUGCUGGCCGCCGCAGGGAUGUCGAUGGCCCCGACGGACUUGCCGUCAUGACCAGAGAUGGCCGCGGUGGAGUUGGUGAGGUCGAUGGCGGUGUCACGGUUGUCCUUGACGACGGUGGGCGAAGUAGACGCUGGGGCCGGCAACACGUCGAGUGUAGCGCACCACAUCUGCAGGCGACAACACCGGUAGUAGAUGCAGCGGCCAUCCCAGUAUGCGAAUGCGUGCGCCGAAGUGAAUCGGACAUCUGCCGCUACAAAAGGCUCUCCAUCCUCUGAUUUUGUUUGGGGAUACACCACCAACUGCUCUACACCAAAGGGAGCGAAGAGGGAAUACAAUACAUCGGUAGUGAUAGGGUAAAUCGCUUGCUCCACGACCAUGCUGAGAACUUGAUCUGAGAACAUUUGGUGGCUAGUCAUUCUGUCGAACAGGAAGAAGGCAAUGACUAGCGAAAAAAAAAUUGGGGCGGAAAGGAUGGUGGACUGGCUCUGAUAGCAGAUGUUAGGAACCUGCUAUGAUCUAUCUUGACUAGUCACUUCAACAGAUGAAUUGUAGCAGUAGCAUAGCAAUUACAUGGGAGAGGUUACAGGAACAGGAAGAACAGAGAUGAAUUGGAGGUAGGGGAAAGAGAAGGGAGCCGCUGCCGUUCGUGCCUGAUCCUACGCGGAUACCUCCUCGUGGCCUGCUUCCCUUGUAUUUGUAGUGGGCACCCUGGUUAAUGCACCACUGGGCUUGGCCCAUGUACCACCCACGGGCAAGCCAAUGGGUCCCUAACACUUUACUCUUUACAAUUGUCUGAUCAGUAGUACUAGAAUUUGGCAGUGUGCGAUGUUCAUCAUACUAAUCUGUUCAGUUCGUGGUUUUCUGAGAUUGGUACUCUGGAGAGUGUAGUUAAUGGCCAAUUGUAGAAAUGUCAAUACUUUCAAUAUUGGAAAAUUUACCAUGUUAUUAGGUUAUUCUAAUUUGGGAACCUCCUCCCACCCAGCCAUGACCGAGGUUCUCUCCUAGUCAGGAGGAGCAGUAUUAGCCAGUUGAGAAAUUAGCAGACUCACACACCGACAAUGCGCAAGUAACUUGGCAUUUCACAUUGAGAUCACAAAGCAAACUCAUCUUCUUUCUCCAUGGUCUUGCAACGCAAAUACAACCAUUAUUUACAUUGCUUUUAUCAUGGCACACAAUGUAGACUUGCCAAAACAAACCAACUGUUUUAUAUCAAGCCAAAUUCAUGGGAUAUCCCUGGAUUGCAAUCAAUACCCCACCACUAUGUUGAGCAAAUUGACAGUAGUACAACAUCAUCCAAAUACAUGCAUGUUUAGGUGAUAGUGACACUGCUGAUGCCUUGUCGCCACUCAUGGCCCAUCAGCUCCUUUGCUCUUGCCACGAGAGCAGAGAGAGGCACACUGUGCUCCAUCAGUCCUGCGUCGCCCAAGAAGAACCUGUACUUUUCAGCCCUUGAAGGUGUAUGUUCUACCCGCAGCAGUGCUUCCAUCAUCCAGCAUUUAUUAAAGCAGUCGGUGUAGCUAGGAUUGCACUCCAUUAUGUGUAUGGCAUGUUCAACUAUCACCCUCCUGAUUCCCGGACAAUGAGCAGUAGGUGUCAUAUUUGAGUUAAGUGCACAGACAAGUCUGUUUAUAAAUCUUUCUUUAAUCUGACCAUGCUCAAGUUCACGCUCAAAGUCUCCAGGAAUGGCAUGACAUAUUUGUGAACUAAGGCCAACAAGGACCUCUAGUUCCGCCCCUUCUGCAUCCAUUAUUCCUUCCAAGACCUAUAAUAGAAAUAGUUAAGUGAUGUAAACAUAAUAUGGCAAACUUCUGCUGCAUCUGAACCUAUAUAUAUAUGGUCAGGUGGUAAUCCAAGAUGAUGCCAUGUCGCCAUCUAUUUCUCUAGUUAUGUUAUGUAUAUUUGGCAGUUCAUACUUCUUACUUCUUAUUACUCUCAACAUUGAAAUGACUUAGUUGCAUGACAUAAACUAUAUCAUGAAUGAUGUGCAUGUCCGUGCCAAGAAAUGUCCAUAGUUAGAAAAAAAAUGAAUUCAUGCAUUUUUCUUUAACAAUUUGUGAGAUAGGAAAUGCCGCAACUGUUAAGCUUCAUGCACUAGCCAACGCGACAAAAAAUUUGAACUGAUAUGAAAAAGGUCAGGCAAUCCACAUAUACACUUCAACACCCCCUCUCACGUGCGACGCGGAAAGUCAACACAUGGAUAGACUCAGAGGUAUGGCUCAAGAGGCCUAUACAUGGACAAAGGGGAGCAACGACAAUCUUUUGGAUAAAUUGCGAAAGCCAGGACUCGAACUUAAGACAAUGGGCUCUGAUACCAUGUGUAAGCUUCAUGCACUAGCUAAUGCAACCAAAAGUCCGAACUAGUGAAAGAGCCUAGGCAAUCCACAUAUACACUUCAAUAGCAACAACAGGUGCAACAUCUAAUUUUACUUGUCAGGGCUCACCUCUCGCAAGAUGUGAGAGAACUCCUUCAGUUCGGAGUUGUUGAACUUAGGUUGAGCAUGCAUGCACAUACUUCGCAACAAGCUUGCUGCUACGUACCUGUACAUGUCCCCAUGGAUCAUAAAUGCGAGCUCCUUGAUGAAUACAUACCCUGGUUCGGCUAACAUAACCAAACAGUUAUUCGCACUGUCCAUUGCUAGCACUGCCAGGGCUUGCCCGGCGACCUUUCGUAACUUAUCUGAAUAUGUACUUGAGGCUGCUUCUCGGUUAAGAAAUGCAUGCAUCAACCUGCUAAUGAUCACCCGAAUCUUCCCGAUCUCGUCCCUUGUGUUUGCAUCCAUGGAAAUGUUUCUAAGGAUUUCUGUUGUUAGCUCCCUAAGUUCUUGGCUGCUCCCACUGUCUUCCAAGAUCGCUGCAAGGUUGCUCAAAAGGAAGGGAUGUUCUGAAAUCUCCUGUCGCAAAGUUACCCCAAACUUCCCUCGAGUACUUGCAAGUCUUCUCAGCAGUUUCAACGAUGAACCUUUCAGCAGUGCCUGGUCUGUCUCACUAAUAUUGGUCAUGUCAGUUCUGUUGCUUGUGAAAUCUAUGAUCUUUGAAAUGAGGCCUGUUGAUCUGUUGAUUUCUACACGGUUCUCAAUAUCAAAGCUAGCAAGAGUGUCAAGAAUUAACAUGCCCAGUACAGGGAGCAGAUCCUGGUCCGUUGAUGGCUCCUCCUCUGGAAUAUACCAGCAUUUGGUAUCUGCUUCCAGCAUCUGAGUGUACAUGAGUUUUGUCCAUCCAUGUUAGAUGGCUCCUCCCUUGGAACCAAACAAUAUACUGCCAUCUGUUUCAACCAUUUAAGCAUGGGUGUCCUCUGUUCGUCCAUGGCAACUUGCUGAAUCAGGGUAUCUUGUUCUGCCUCUAGGCUACCAAUGUCUAGGAGAGGAUCCUUUAUUUUCUGCUGGUGAACAGUAUCAAGAAGUGAGGCUAUGAGCUGCAUUGCCCCAGGGACAGAGACAACUCGGAGGCUACCAGCAAGCUCAGCUAUGACCUUCGCGGCAAAUGAUCUAAUAUUUGCAUCUCCUUCACUUGUCCAGCCCAACAUGUUGAAUAAGACAGUUACUGUCUUCGUGGAAGUCGCUAGUUUUGAGAUGGCUUUGGUCUUGAUAGGUUCAUUUUUUAGGAAAAUGUGCAACAUGCGAAGUCCAUAGAGCUGCAUCUUGGGUGAGUCUGACUUUAAAGAAUCCAUUGCAAAUGCGAUGAGGCUGAUCUUCUUUCGGGCAAACACAGCGCCGUCCAUGCAUUUCUCAAAGGCAUAGGCAUAGUACAAAUUGACAUAUUCCACUGCCCGGGGACCUCUGAAUCUAGCACCACGGGCGAGGCAUCUCAGGAGGAUGCAUGAAAAGACAUCAAGGAUGCAGGCAACAAUGUAAAGUAUUCCCUGGCCAAGCACCAUCCCGUAGAAGAUAUUGAGAGAUGGCACGAGGUUUGUCUUGUCCCCAAGGAUUUUCUUGUCAACAUGUUCAUCAUGGCCGUAGUAGCUUUGUGCUUUAAGGCGUACUAGUGCCAGCACGAUGCGCAAUACUGCUGCUGGAAUCUGGAGGUUUCCGAAUGACACUAUUACUACUAGGCCACAUAAUUUAAAUAUGAGAAUCACAAUCCAUCCGACGCCUUCAAAAGUGAACACAAACAUCGCUACUGCAGCUAGCAUGCACAAGUUUAGAAUAACUCGACGCCAAUAUAUUAUUCUCCUGCCGAGAGUCAAGUCUACUAGUUUCAUGAUACCUGGGAAUUGCAGCCUGCUGAUUGUCGCUAGGAGCACGACCACAAAUAAUACCAGAUACAUUGUCAGCUUGGCGAUUGAGUUUUUGAAACUGAGUUUGUGAAUGUUGAAAUCCUCAUCGAAGCUAUAUGGUGCAGAGGGACCAAGCAAUAGGACUGCAACAACUGGGCUCCAUAAUGACAUCGCACGGCAUAGCAGAUUGCAUAUGAGUAGUCGUGCAGCUCCUGGAAACAGAGAUGGGCUAAUCGCAAGCACUGCCAAGGGCAAAGCUGGUAUUUGUAUUGUUGCAUACUUAUUCCAGAUUAGAAUGCACACUAGGACAUUGGAAAAACAUAACACCAAGAUCAUAGCAUUCCAGCUAAGAGACUUGAAAGAACCUCUGGAACGGAAGAACAAUCGAUAAUCCAGGUUAUUGUUGCGGCUGAACAUCCUGAAAUAAAUACAAGAUGGUAUAAUUAAACAAAAAGGCAACAUGCAAUCCACAAUGCAAGGAUGACAUAUACAUGUAUUUAAAAUACAACAAGAAUUCUGAAAUUACCCGAAUACAGCUCUAGACUUUGAGUGCCAAACAUGUACAACUGGGGACGUAUUGUUUCCAUAUAUAUUUUGUUUGAGUUAGUAUUGAUGGUUUGACAAGACCCUGACAGGGGUAAAUUUACCUAUUCUAAGGCUUGCAGCAACUUUCUGGGUCCUUUGAAAUAGUAAAAAUGACAACUGCUUCAAAAGAAUGUACUGCAAUUAACCUAGAAGAUAUGCUCCAACGGAAAAUUCAUGUUUUAUGCUGGUAUAACUCUUGUUUCUUGAUUGGACUUUGAGCAGUUUAUCUCCAAGGUUUUAAGUAGUGGAUGUCGGGUUGGCAAUGGGUUGACUUUGGUGUAUCUACUAAUAUAGGAUAUCAAACAAUAUGCCCAAGUACUGGCCAGGAAUGUUGUGAGUGGAGAGUUGGGGAUGUGUUUGUUGGCAAUUUUAGAAAGGAGGCGCUUGCCCGACUUUAACUAACUGAAGCCAUUAAAUCGUUUGCAACAAAUAGUACCAGAAACAAAGAAUGAAAAAUGUUCGAUAUAGACCCAACGGGGCGAAGGCAAGGCUGCCAACAUAACGGGAGGCGUUUGUUGGCAAUUGAUGAGCCCUAAGACCUAAGCAGUCAUCUAGUUCAGGUUGCAUGCAUGUAGCAUCUGAAGGAGAGGAACAUCCUCCUCUUCAGCGACAUAGGAUUUGUGCUGCAGCUAGGGGGGAAACGGAUCGGAUGCGGAUGGGAUACUGCUCUUCCAACUUCCAUUUUCAUAUUUUCAAAACAAAUACAAAUGCGAAUACGGAUGUUAUUGGAUGCGAAUGUGGUGAGGAUGUUACUUGAAUACGGAUACACAUUGGUUGUUUACUCAAUUCGGAACGAAUACAAAUAGUAACGGCAUAUUAGUUAAAUAAAAUAAGUCAAUAGUUAUGUGACAACAAAUAAUCAACUUGCAACAUACAGUAAGCCAAUUAUAGACAGGUUUAUGAAUAAAUACUACUAUGAUGCGUACUAAUUUCUAAGUUUAGUCAUACAAAAAGUAAAGUUUGACCACUUCUUAGGCUUGUAUGUUGGAUAAUUGGCAUAUUGGGACAAGUAUUUCUCAAAUUAGUUCACGUAAUUUUAUUUGGAUACGGAUAUAUCCAUAUCCAUAUGCAUAUUUGUGUCAAAAUUCCAUACCAUAUUUGUAUUUGAAUUUGCAAAAUAAAUCCGGACACCUUCCAUUUCCAUUUCCAAUUUAGUUCGGAUGCGGAUGUUUCGGAUAUGAAUAAGAAUUUUCUCGAAUACAAAUAUCGGCUAUUUUGAAUUAUCCACGGCCACUUUCAACCCCUGGCCGCAGCCAAUUGUCAGGCAAUAUACAAAACCUAUAAAAUAUCUGUAUUUUGGGCAAUACAUAUAUCGGGACAACUGUACUGGACAUCAGGAACUGUACUCUGCGCAUGCAUGUGGGCUCUUUAGUUUUUGGCUUUGUUCCUCUAAGAGGACAAGCUAAACUAUUUACUGGAUGGAGCUUAUUAAACAUAAAGAUCACUUCCUGGCUUUGUGGAGGUUUGAGAUUGGGAAUGGGGAAAGUGUAAGAUUUUGGGAAGAUAGGCGGAUUAAUAAUAGAGCCCUGAAGGAUGUCUUUCCUAGGCUUUAUAGCAUAUGCUUUGAUACGAAAAAUCGGUUAAAUAUAUAUUUGAUAAAGUUUUGGAUAAUGUUGCCUUCCGAAGAACCCUAUAUGGGGAUUCUUUGGAACUUUGGGACCACAUUAAAGACAGUUGUCGGAGUGUGGUGCUAAAUAAUGAUAGAGAUAAUAUUGUUUGGACCCUGGACAGAAAAGGGAUAUACACUGUUAAAUCUUAUUACAGAUUUCUGAUUGAGAAUAGGGUCAAAUAUCCACAUAAGUUCUUAUGGAAGACUAAAAUGCCACCUAGAUUGAAAGUCUUUAUGUGGGUAGUAUUGAGAAACAGUAUUUUGACUAGAGAUAAUUUGAUUCGUAGAGGGUGGGUUAGAGAGAAAACUUUCCCCUUUUGCAUGCAAGAUGAGAGUGUGGACCAUCUGUUUUUUAAGUGUUCUAUGGCAAAAAUGAUGUGGAAUGUUACACAGUUUGCUUUUAACUUGAAACAAGUUUCUGAUAAUUUGCAUGAUCUAUUUGGGGUAUGGUUGAAACAAUUUAACAAAGAUGAGAAAUCCCUCGUGACUGUAGGGAUUGCAGCUGUCUUCUGGAUAAUUUGGAAGCUUAGAAAUAGGGUGGUUUUCGAUAAAAACAGGGUUUAUGAUCCCUGUGUACCAAUGAAUCUGAUGAUCAAGAUGCUUCAUGAUUGGCUUAUAUUGCAGAUAAACCCAAGAAGACGAAGAAUAAUGACGGAGGGCAUAAAAAAAGUUGUACUAGUGGCAGCAGAAAUCUUCAGGGCGGUGCUGGGAUGGAGAGCCGUUCGCAGGACUGCGGCGACGUGAUCUUCUGAAGUUUCUUCACACUGGUGAAAGCCUUGUGGGAGAUUUAUUCUGUCAUCGAUCUAUACAUGUAGCUCCUGUCUUAUUUCUUCAGUCUGAACUGUUGGGGGUUAUGCUACUAGUUAUCGUUUGUUCUGAACUUGAUGUUCUGGUUGUUUUUGCUUGAGUCGUCCUGGAGAACUCGGCUUGUGGGAUUUCUCAGGGCUGUGCUGGGUGGUUGCGUUUUGCGUUUGUGAAACCUAGUCAGUUUCUUAGAUUGGGUAAAAAUCUGCACUUCAAAGGACGGAGGCUGUGGGAUUGGCUCUUUUGCAUCUUCAAGGAGUGUGCAUCGUAGGAUUUGGAGAGAAUUUCUUAUUUAACAUUGUCUUAAAAUUGGAUGCCCUAUUUAACACCGAAAAAAUAUUUCUUCCCUCUAUGACAUCAACUCUAAAUUUUGUUCCCAAUAUAACACAUAUG
rnacentral:lncRNA from 1 species